CCUACGGGUGGCAGCAGUGGGGGAUAUUGCACAAUGGGGGAAACCCUGAUGCAGCGACGCCGCGUGUGGGAAGACGGUCCUCUGGAUUGUAAACCACUGUCCCCAGGGACGAAAAUGACGGUACCUGGGGAGGAAGCUCCGGCUAACUACGUGCCAGCAGCCGCGGUAAUACGUGGGGAGCGAGCGUUGUCCGGAAUUACUGGGUGUAAAGGGAGCGUAGGGGGGGAUGCAAGUUGGGUGUAAAAACUACCGGCUCAACUGGUAGUCGCACUCAAAACUGCAGCGCUUGAGUGAAGUAGAGGCAGGCGGAAUUCCUAGUGUAGCGGUGAAAUGCGUAGAUAUUAGGAGGAACACCAGUGGCGAAGGUGGCCUGCUGGGCUUUUACUGACGCUGAGGCUCGAAAGUGUGGGGAGCAAACAGGAUUAGAUACCCUUGUAGUC
rnacentral:rRNA from 1 species